rnacentral:rRNA from 1 species
UACGUAGGGCGCAAGCGUUAUCCGGAAUUAUUGGGCGUAAAGAGCUCGUAGGCGGUUUGUCGCGUCUGCCGUGAAAGUCCGGGGCUCAACUCCGGAUCUGCGGUGGGUACGGGCAGACUAGAGUGUGGUAGGGGAGACUGGAAUUCCUGGUGUAGCGGUGAAAUGCGCAGAUAUCAGGAGGAACACCGAUGGCGAAGGCAGGUCUCUGGGCCGAUACUGACGCUGAGGAGCGAAAGCGUGGGGAGCAAACAGG